rnacentral:tRNA from 2 species
GCCGAAGUGGCGGAAUUGGUAGACGCGCUAGAUUCAGGAUCUAGUAGGCAAUACGCCUGUGUGGGUUCGAGUCCCGUCUUCGGCA